rnacentral:rRNA from 1 species
GACGAACGCUGGCGGCGUGCUUAACACAUGCAAGUCGAACGGAAAGGCCCUGCUUUUGUGGGGUGCUCGAGUGGCGAACGGGUGGGUAACACGUGAGUAACCUGCCCUUGACUUUGGGAUAACUUCAGGAAACUGGGGCUAAUACCGGAUAGGAGCUCCUGCUGCAUGGUGGGGGUUGGAAAGUUUCGGCGGUUGGGGAUGGGCUCGCGGCUUAUCAGCUUGUUGGUGGGGUAGUGGCUUACCAAGGCUUUGACGGGUAGCCGGCCUGAGAGGGUGACCGGCCACAUUGGGACUGAGAUACGGCCCAGACUCCUACGGGAGGCAGCAGUGGGGAAUAUUGCACAAUGGGCGGAAGCCUGAUGCAGCAACGCCGCGUGCGGGAUGACGGCCUUCGGGUUGUAAACCGCUUUCGCCUGUGACGAAGCGUGAGUGACGGUAAUGGGUAAAGAAGCACCGGCUAACUACGUG